rnacentral:rRNA from 1 species
GACGAACGCUGGCGGCGUGCCUAAUACAUGCAAGUCGAACGCUGAAGGCGGAGCUUGCUUCUCCGGAUGAGUUGCGAACGGGUGAGUAACGCGUAGGUAACCUGCCUGGUAGCGGGGGAUAACUUUUGGAAACGAUAGCUAAUACCGCAUAAGAGUAGAUGUCGCAUGACAUUUGCUUAAAAGGUGCAACUGCACCGCUACCAGAUGCAGCUGCGUUGUAUUAGCUAGUUGGUGAGGUAACGGCGCACCAAGGCAACGAUACAUACCCGACCUGAGAGGGGGAGCGGCCGCACUGGGAGUGUGACACGGCCCAGAGGCCUACGGGUAGGAGCAGGAGUGAUACGGCAGCCAUGGGCGGAAGACAUAGCGAGCAACGCGGCGUGAUGGAGGAAGGUUGUCGGGUCGUAGAGGUCGGUUGUAAGAGAAGAACGAGUGUGAGAGUGGAAAGUUGACACUGUGACGGUAACUUACCAGAAAGGGACGGCUAACUACGUG